AGCAGCCGCGGUAAUUCCAGCUCCAAUAGCGUAUAUUAAAGUUGUUGCAGUUAAAAAGCUCGUAGUUGAAUUUCGGGGUUAGUAGGUUGGUCAUGCCUCCGGUAUGUACUGGUCUCACUGAUUCCUCCUUCCUGAUGAGCCGUAAUGCCAUUAAUUUGGUGUUGCGGGGAAUCUGGACUGUUACUUUGAAAAAAUUGAGUGUUUAAAGCGGGCAUUAGCUUGAAUACAUUAGCAUGGAAUAAUGAAAUAGGACGUUCGAUCCUAUUUUGCUGGUUUCUAGGAUCAACGUAAUGAUUAAUAGGGAUAGUUGGGGGCAUUAGUAUUCAAUUGUCAGAGGUGAAAUUCUUGGAUUUAUUGAAGACUAACUACUGCGAAAGCAUUUGCCAAGGAUGUUUUCAUUAAUCAAGAACGAAAGUUAGGGGAUCGAAGACGAUCAGAUACCGUCGUAGUCUUAACCAUAAACUAUGCCGACUAGGGAUCGGAUGAUGUCUAAUUUUUUAAUGUACUCAUUCGGUACCG
rnacentral:rRNA from 1 species